AUUCUUAAUCGCAAAGAAUCAGUAGCUAAUUACAAAUAAUCUAGUUGAUUAUUGUCUCUGUUAGACUUUAGAUGAUCAACAAUGUGUUACAACCUUUAAACUUGAUAACGAGUUAUGAUUAGGCUGUUGAAUUUACGUGUAUAGUUGCAUUGCGCAGGCUAAAGAUGUUACCAAAAAAGAUAGCUUAUGUGUAUAUCCAAGCAGUCCAUCAUCUGCUCUUGGCAUAGUUGCUGCAUUAUUUAUACUAGCUGAGCAAAUCGUUAUUAGUGCUGCUACUUACUGCUUUUGCUGCUGUGGACUACGUUGUUCUGCUCGUUGCACUGUUAUAAGCUCAUUACUCUUCUUCAUCGGCUCCUGGUUCACUUUUCUGGUAACGUUCAUUGGAUUGAUAUAUACAGCGAUCCUUGACAACACCAGUUUCCUAGCAAAAACCUAUACCAGAGGAAACAGUGACAGUUGUGGAGUGGGCAAUGAGAAUUUGUUCCUUGGGGCUGCAUAUUGGUGCAUAAUUAGCACCGUUGUAGGUCUGGUAUCAUAUGCUUUCUGGGCGUGUGGUGCUGCUAAAACAAACAAUAAUAACCAAGGCCGCGCUUUUGAUCAUGAGCAUGGUGUUGCUAUGGGAGAACCUCAGAUGCAGCAACCGAAGGAAUAACUUAGAUAAUUAAUGUGAUGCUGGCUGAGUGGUUGGUAUCCUGUAUAGCUCAAGAUCAAUCCAAGGGUAGUAAAAUUGUUGUAAGCUGUAAAGAUCAUUUCAUCUUUUAUCCUAUUUGUAGUUUAGCAAAUGUUAUAUCAAAUAGAAUGUUGAACAAAUCUCUUACAGUCUUUACUUAUCAAAUGACAUACAACAUUUUUUUUCCUACA